ACGUGUAAGAUGAUUCAUGAAUGAUGGUAGCAUGGAGCACCGUCUAGAUCUAAGGAGAUAGGCUAUAAAUCUCAUCUUCCAUCUUCAUGUAACACACUUUGAAUGAUAUUGGUAUUGAACCCCUGAUGAGAAUACUCCAGGUCUUCAAUCUUCUUCAGAGUCACGGCCAGAGAGAGCUUCUUAGCCUCCUUUAGCCACCUUCCCUAGAUAGGCUUCCUUUCUAGGCUUCAAACUACACCAAAUCACAUCAGCCAUAUGCCACACAUUUCAUCGAGCACCUAGCGUGCAUUCGCUCAUUCCGCUGCUUCCUCCAUGUCCAAUCUUCUGUGCAACUCCAACGAGCAAGGAUCAAUCUCCAGUCAUCCAUGGAGGACAGUAUCAAUAGGCGUAUUUGAUACAUGAGCUUGGAAAACAGACUUCCAAUCAAUUGUGGCAGUGCUACUGUCAUUCAAUUCUGUCAUGAGUUCUUUUUAUAAAUUUCCAAUGAAUUUUGUGUAUACUGGUGCUAGUCGUGUUCCAAAUCAGUACAGGUUACUGUUGCAUCAAGGAUAGCACAUCAAAUAAGUGCAGUUGCACAGCUUGAGUGCUUAAACCAUAGUCACAAUUGUAAAUCUGCACUGUUGUCAGCUUAUCACCGUGCUAAACUUGGCUUUGAAUUACCAUUUCAAGUUUGCUUUCACCUAGCUGAUAUUUUCCAGCUUGGAUCAGUGUUAAUACGUAUUUUUGAGUUGUUUGUAUUCUUGUUUAGCCUUUUGAUUCAAUAAAACUCAGUUUGGGGUGUGAGGUUGCCUAAUUUUCCUGCAUAAGGGACUGUGAGAUGGUCAUAUUUUGAUGGAUGCUGUUUCAGUUCCAAUUCUAAGCUUAAACAACUUUAUUUUCAUAAAAUAAAGUUUCUGGAAUUGGUUAUUUGACCUUAAAGCCACUUGUGUGGAUUUUCACAUCUCAAAACCCCAUUCUAAGUUCAAUUUUCUGGUGCAAAUUGGCUACUGUCAACUCUAUUUUUAACUCCAAAAGUGCAAGAAAAAAAAUCAGUUUGGAUUGUAGUAAAAGCCAGAAUCUGUAAGAGACAAGGUGUAACAAGUUGAAAUGAAUAUAAGAGGCAAAUAGAUCCUGUGCAAUCCAGUUUUGCAACUUAAAAAUCAGAGAAUCCAAAUAUGUUAGAAAUCUGAAAGUCAUUCAGGACUUUCAUCAAACAAUUUUGAAAGUUGGAGUUAAAACUUGAUUUUCUUGAUUCUAAGCCAAUUUGCUUAAUUUUUCUUGCUUUCUUAAUCUUUUCUAGAGCCACUGGUAGGAUCAAAUUUGCGUGCNAGCCAUUUUCUUCAUCAGCUUUAUUUGAUUGAUUGUCUUAUUGGCUUGAUAGUUUUGUCUUUCAAUAUAAAUUCUGAUCAGCUUUUNAGAAAUCAGUUUGAUGCACUGUUUGAGUGGUAGUUGUGGCUGUUAUUAACAGUUUGGUGCAGUUUAGAAGGCUUGCAAGGAAACUAGAAAAGGGUAGAGUCUUAGGUGGUGGACGCUGAACCUCUAACUGGACGUGAAGCUGCCAGACCCGUGGAGUGCACCCUGAAUUAUUUUUUCAGCAAACACAAUUCUGUUUUGAGAGCUUUACGUGAGAACUAAAUCACAACCUACACCACUGCAGCUGAGAGCUUUGUGACUGUCUUCAUUACCGUGUUCUUUAUUCCAAAGAAUCCAAAGCUGCUUACCCUUUCUUUUACUGUCCUUUUGUUCAGCUAAUCAACUACUGCAACCACUGCAUUCUCUUCAGAAUUCAACAUUUAUUAAUCUGAUUUUUGUCAAAUAAACUUGUUGAAUUACACUUGUUGAGCUGAUCCAAAUCAGAAUUCCUCACAUCAUAUCUGUUACACUGUUUUGUUCAAUUUUGAAAUUCUGAUUUUGAUUAGUCUUGAUUACUUUCCAAAUUCCAAUUGCUAGUGCUUGUAUAUUGGUUGUUUUGGCAUGUUGCAGCUAGGCAGAAUUAAUCUGGAAAUUAUUUGAUAAUUAGCUGCAGUAGAGUCAUCAAGCUUCUUGUGAUAAACUGUGUGCACCAGAUUUGUGAACUGGUUUGAAAGCUAGAACAACAGCUUGAGAACAGAUUGGAACCUUUUUCCCACGUCAUUUGUUCAAAGCCGAGAGCAAACAAUUUUGGGCAAUCAUUGGAGAAUAACUAGGAUCUUUUCACUACAUCAAUUUUCCAAAGCCGAGAAAAGGGAGGAAUCUAUUACAGAAUGCACAUGAGCUAAAAGACCUAAGGAUACCAUAAUUAGAGUGCAUUUCUGCAGCAGGAUUUUGAGCACACCGUAAC
rnacentral:lncRNA from 1 species